rnacentral:rRNA from 1 species
AGGACGAACGCUGGCGGCGUGCUUAACACAUGCAAGUCGAGCGGAAAGGCCCUUCGGGGUACUCGAGCGGCGAACGGGUGAGUAACACGUGAGUAACCUGCCCCUAGCUUCGGGAUAGCUCCGGGAAACCGGAAUUAAUACCGGAUACGACCACGGCCGACAUCUGCUGUGGUGGAAAGGAUUUCGGCUAAGGAUGGGCUCGCGGCCUAUCAGCUAGGUUGGUGGGGUAAUGGCCCACCGAAGGCGACGGACGGGUA